GCCUAGUUAGCUUGGUUGGUAGCGCGUCUGCCUUGUAAGCGCUAGGCCGCGGGUUCGAUUCCCGCCCGGGGCU
rnacentral:tRNA from 1 species